AUACGGAGGAUGCGAGCGUUAUCCGGAUUUAUUGGGUUUAAAGGGAGCGUAGGUGGGAUAUUAAGUCAGCUGUGAAAGUUUGGGGCUCAACCUUAAAAUUGCAGUUGAUACUGGUUUCCUUGAGUACGGUACAGGUGGGCGGAAUUCGUGGUGUAGCGGUGAAAUGCUUAGAUAUCACGAAGAACUCCGAUCGCGAAGGCAGCUCACCGGGCCGGAACUGACACUGAUGCUCGAAAGUGCGGGUAUCAAACAGGAUUAGAUACCCUGGUAGUCCGCGCAGUAAACGAUGAAUACUCGCUGUUUGCGAUACACUGUAAGCGGCCAAGCGAAAGCGUUAAGUAUUCCACCUGGGGAGUACGCCGGCAACGGUGAAACUCAAAUGAAUUGACGGGG
rnacentral:rRNA from 1 species